AGAGGAUCACAAUUCUUAAGCUUACUCCGUCAGAUCAUCUCUUACUUCUGUGCUGUCAAGAGGAUUAUAAUGAGCAAUACAUGCCCACUGCUUCUUGUUCUUCCCACCAUGGACAUCUGACAUUC